rnacentral:misc_RNA from 1 species
CCUUUUCCGCUAAGUUUUCAGACAUGGUAGGUUUAUUCUCUCAAAAAUCCGGAAAAAUCUUUCUUUAAAGUCGUUUAACACGAAAAUUUUAUUGUUGAAUUCGUCGAAUAUUCUCUCAUUAACAUGAUAUAUUCGAUUUGUGAUACUUACGGCUUUAUUUGAAAAUAUUUGUCGCUUUUUUCUUGGCCGCUGCUGGCACUACAUUUGAUUUCCUUGAAUCGGAGUCAAACGAUCAAGCACGGCCUAAAAUAAGCAUGUAAAUCAAGCUAAUGAGUGAUAGACAACGUAUUCAUUGGUUCAAGAGCAUUGGUACAUAAUGAAUUUUCUGUUUUAGGGGCGAGGACCGAAGAAACAUCUGAAGCGUUUGAAUGCGCCAAAACACUGGAUGCUCGACAAAGUCGGCGGUGUAUUCGUGAGUAUUUUACAAUAUUACUUCUAUGCCGUUAUCGAAGCUCUAAUAUGGAUAAACUGUAUUUGGGUCAUGUUACGGCUAGAUUAAUAAUUUCUGACGGUCGCCCGUUUAGAGCUCCUGUCCUAUUCGUGCAUUACCAACUGAUAGUAACAUAAAAUUUUCCAAUACAGGCGCCGAAACCUAGUGCUGGACCACACAAAACUAGGGAAUGUCUCCCAUUGAUGAUAUUCUUGCGUAAUCGUCUAAAGUAUGCUUUGACCUACGAUGAAUGCAAGAAAAUUGUCAACCAGCGCUUGAUUAGAGUAGACGGUAAAGUGCGAACUGAUAAGACCUUCCCUUGCGGUUUCAUGGAUGUCAUCACCAUCCAAAGAACUAAUGAGCACUUUCGUCUAGUGUAUGAUGUUAAAGGCCGAUUCAUUGUUCACCGUAUUACCCCUGAAGAGGCCAAGUAUAAAUUGUGCAAAGUAAAAAGAAUACAGGUUGGCCCUAAAGGUGUACCUUUCAUCGUUACACACGAUGCUCGUACCAUCCGUUACCCGGAUCCCCUUAUUAAACUAAACGAUACCGUACGUGUCGAUAUUGCAACCGGAAAGAUCAAGGAUUAUCUAAAGUUCGAUUCCGGUAUGAUUGUUAUGAUCACCGGAGGUAGGAACUUGGGAAGAGUUGGAACCAUCACACACCGUGAAAAACAUCCCGGCUCUUUCGACAUCGUACACGUAAAAGAUAAGGAAGGACAUAUUUUCGCUACUCGAUUAAACAACACCUUCAUCAUCGGUAAGGGCAGCAACCCCUGGAUUUCUCUACCUAAAGGCAAAGGUAUCAAAUUGUCGGUUGCAGAAGAGAGAGACAAGAGAAUCGCCAAGAAAGAAAUCUAAAUGAACGAUUGUUUAUGUAUGUGCGUGUAGUUUUAAAAAUAAA